AUUAUCCUGAGAUGUUCGUAGGAAUUGUUUACUUUGAGCCAACACCUUAAAAAAGGGAGCUUGCCGUUAUUGGCUCGCUUACAUGCCCCGCAAGCUGGGGACGUAAAAAGGCCAAUGCGAAGCACCCACCUGCCUUGCAGGUUCAAAGCACCAAGUUCUUACGGCAUAGUCGGGAUAAUU
rfam:Bacillus clausii KSM-K16 DNA, complete genome.